UACAGCGGUCUCACGCGUUGUUCGGAUUCAUUGGGCGUAAAGGGUGUGUAGGUGGCGCCGUUAGUCGGGUGUGAAAUUUCGGAGCUUAACUCCGAAACUGCAUUCGAUACUGCGGUGCUUGAGGACUGGAGAGGAGACUGGAAUUCAUGGUGUAGCAGUGAAAUGCGUAGAGAUCAUGAGGAAGACCAGUGGCGAAGGCGGGUCUCUGGACAGUUCCUGACACUGAGGCACGAAGGCCAGGGGAGCAAACGGG
rnacentral:rRNA from 1 species